AUUGAACGCUGGCGGCAGGCCUAACACAUGCAAGUCGAGCGGAUGAAGGGAGCUUGCUCCUGGAUUCAGCGGCGGACGGGUGAGUAAUGCCUAGGAAUCUGCCUGGUAGUGGGGGAUAACGUCCGGAAACGGGCGCUAAUACCGCAUACGUCCUGAGGGAGAAAGUGGGGGAUCUUCGGACCUCACGCUAUCAGAUGAGCCUAGGUCGGAUUAGCUAGUUGGUGGGGUAAAGGCCUACCAAGGCGACGAUCCGUAACUGGUCUGAGAGGAUGAUCAGUCACACUGGAACUGCGAGACUGUACACACUCGGGGGGGAGGCGGGAGUGAGGGAUAGGGGCGAGCGCGGGACGGACUGCUACCGCCAUGGCGCGGGUGUGAAGAAGGUCUUCGGUUUAUAACGCACUUUGAGUGGGGAGGAAGGGCAUUAAUUUACUCCCUUGCUGUUUUGACGUUACAAACAGAAUAACCACCGGCUAACGUCGUGCCCGCAGCGGCGGUAAUAAUCGGACGAGCACACGCCUGAAC
rnacentral:rRNA from 1 species